CAGGCCUAACACAUGCAAGUCGAGCGCACACUUCGGUGCCAGCGGCAGACGGGUGAGUAACACGUGGGAAUCUACCUUUUGCUUCGGAACAACUCCGGGAAACUGGAGCUAAUACCGGAUACGCCCUUUUCGGGGAAAGAUUUAUCGGCGAGAGAUGAGCCCGCGUCGGAUUAGCUAGUUGGUGGGGUAAAGGCCUACCAAGGCGACGAUCCGUAGCUGGUCUGAGAGGAUGAUCAGCCACACUGGGACUGAGACACGGCCCAGACUCCUACGGGAGGCAGCAGUGGGGAAUAUUGGACAAUGGGGGCAACCCUGAUCCAGCCAUGCCGCGUGAGUGAUGAACGCCCUAGGGUUGUACAGCUCUUUCACCGGUGAAGAUAAUGACGGUAACCGGAGAAGAAGCCCCGGCUAACUUCGUGCCAGCAGCCGCGGUAAU
rnacentral:rRNA from 1 species